ensembl:lncRNA
AUAUAGUGUGCAGUGUGUAAUAUAUAGUGUGCAGUGUGUAAUAUAUAGUGUGCAGUGUGUAGUAUAUAGUGUGCAGUGUGUAGUCUAUAGUGUGCAGUGUGUAAUAUAUAGUGUGCAGUGUGAAUAUAUAGUGUGCAGUGUGUAGUAUAUAGUGUGCAGUGUGUAAUAUAUAGUGUGCAGUGUGUAAUAUAUAGUGUGCAGUGUGUAAUAUAUAGUGUGUAAUAUAUAGUGUGCAGUGUGUAAUAUUAGUUGUGCAGUGUGUAAUAUAUAGUGUGCAGUGUGUAGUAUAUAGUGUGCAGUGUGUAAUAUAUAGUGUGUAAUAUAUAGUGUGCAGUGUGUAAUAAUAUAUAGUGUGCAGUGUAUAGUGUACAGUAUAUAGUGUGCAGUGUGAACUUUUACAUGUAUAACUAAUGGAACAGUCAUCCAUGUGUUUUAUACUAUUAAAAACACUCCUAUAUACACUAUGACCAAAAGUAUGU